AGAGCACAUGGAUACAUUUGUGAGAGAAAAAACUCGUUGAAUGCAGUCUUAUCGAGACGUCUAACGGUUGGAACAAACGUGGAAUUCCUUAACCGAGCAGAGUCCACAAAACCCCAUCCAUUUGUCAUGGCAAUUUGAAAAUGCCAGCAGAUCUAUCAGACAUUGAUCAUAAUCAAUGGACAGGUCACCGUAGCCACCCAGAUCCAGUCUGUAUCCAGAUCAGAUGGUGGAGAGAUGACCUCUAC